UACGUAGGGUGCGAGCGUUGUCCGGAAUUAUUGGGCGUAAAGAGCUCGUAGGCGGUGUGUCGCGUCGGCCGUGAAAACCUGCAGCUUAACUGUGGGCUUGCGGUCGAUACGGGCAUCACUGGAGUUCGGCAGGGGAGACUGGAAUUCCUGGUGUAGCGGUGAAAUGCGCAGAUAUCAGGAGGAACACCGGUGGCGAAGGCGGCGAUCUGGGUCGAUACUGACGCUGAGGUGCGAAAGCGUGGGGAGCAAACAGG
rnacentral:rRNA from 1 species